rnacentral:tRNA from 1 species
GUCCGUGUAGCGCAAUGGAUAGCGAGUUGGACUUCUAAUCCAAAGGUUGUGGGUUCGAAUCCCACCUGAGAUG